rnacentral:lncRNA from 1 species
UUCGUCGCCGGGUGUUGAAAGAGUCUUCGUCAACCUCUUCCGCGUUCGUGUCCAUAGGAGGAGGAAUUCCGAUCUUAUUUUGGGGUGGUGUUUCCGGUUAAUCUCGCACGAAGGACAAAAAUACGCCUUAGGGCAGUGCGUCGCAUGCUUCCGGAGCUAAUUAUUUUGGAUUUCUUUUCCACCGAUUUAUUUGGGAUUUAGCAAUCAUAUGUAAGUUGAUUUAUUUAUUUUCAUCACUAAAUUAGUUAGAUUUAUAUCACAAUCGAAUUUCGUUGUGGGUUUUCCCCAGCA